GAGCCUCAGAGAGUACAGGUUGUGCUGGUCGAUGAUGUUCCUGACGGCGGUCUGCCACAGCAGACGUUUCCUUCGUAGACCUUGGGCGGGGCUGAUGUUCGCACUGAAGCAGAGGCCUCCAUUGACGCCGUCAGUGCUGAUGAAGCAGAUGGUGUUAAUCUAAUGCCUGGUGAGGCCAGCGCCAUGCUGCCAUGCUGUACUUCAACUUCCUGUUGACUCAACCAUGUUAAAGUAUCCAGAACCAUUAAAGAGGAUUCCUGCUUUACACCAAACUGAAGGUAGACCUUCUGGAUUAAAUUGGCUCAAUGGGAACAAAUCAGUAGGUAAGAAAAGGUAAAGGGUUUUACUGAAUCCUCUGAAGAUUAGUUUAUAGGAUGAAAAACUGAACGGAGUCAUAGUUGUACUCACUGGUUGCAGAAUUGAUUCGAUCAUCUCCAGUAAGGACUCUGGUUCGUCUUUGUCCUGUUUUUGUUUCCUUGCUGCUUCCUUGUUCAUCUCAGGUCCAUCUUGUUCAGCUCAUCAUGAUUUAUUCAGGAAACAAACACACUUUCCAAGCUCCUCAUUUCUUCAUGAAGGUUUCGUCAACAGGAAGCGUCCAGUCGUCAUGGUGUCGGUGAGUAAAGACGGACGGUACUCUCGGGUCACAACCAGAACCUGUAGCUCCUGAAGUGCAGGUCUGAGUGAGGCGCAGCAGCUUGGUGUAAUGAGCUGAAGUUGACCAGCAGAUGUCCCAGUGCUGCACUAAUCCCAUCAGGAACCCCUCGAAUGGACAAAAGGCGGCUCAUUAAUCGGCCAGAUUAAGCAUGUGGCUGUGUCUGACCGUUCAGGUGCCUGAUGGGAUUGGCAGGCCUCCAACCAGGCCAGGUUGUGUUUGUGUGCUCGGGUUGUGUGACCAUGUUGACGGCAACUUCACAGAUGGACAGAAACCUGAGAAGAUGGACUGUAAGUAUCUGAUCAGGGAGCUAAAAAUUGAUCCACUGAUGUAGGUUUAGUGUGCUGCCACCUGGUGGCGAAACCUCUUCACUGUAUUUAAUGUCCAGACUGGAUGUGAAGUAAUGAAGGUAUUUCCUGGUAAUCAUCCAUAUCAGGACUUAUUUCACUUUAUAAAUCACAAAUAUAACUAAAAACCUGGAGAAAAAAACAAAUUCAGUGGAAUUAGAAAAAUGAAACAAUCAAUCAGUUUGAUUGAACAUGUGGAAGCUCAGGCUGAUUUUAUUCAUUCCUGUGGACACAAACAUGUAAAAAUAUAAAACUGGAAUAAUAACAUGUAUCCAUGCCAGCUGUCAUCAAACAGUCGACCUGAUAAAAGUCCGUAAACAGUCACAGAUGGUUCUGUUGGAUCCUUCAUGUAAACCUUUGGGGGGAAACAUGACGACCGUUUCUAUGGCAACGUAAGGGAAGAAAGUCCAGUUAAAACUGAACAAUAAAGGACAGGAUUUAACGUUUGGCAGUGGAAAUAAGGAGAGUUUAGAGGCUGAUUCUCAUCAUUUCACUGGAAAAUAAAAUAUUAAUUUAAAUAUUCUGGUAAACCUCUGCAAAAAAACAUCCAAAUAGUUU